rnacentral:rRNA from 1 species
GAUGAACGCUGGCGGCGUGCCUAAUACAUGCAAGUCGAGCGAACGGACGAGAAGCUUGCUUCUCUGAUGUUAGCGGCGGACGGGUGAGUAACACGUGGAUAACCUACCUAUAAGACUGGGAUAACUUCGGGAAACCGGAGCUAAUACCGGAUGAUAUUUUGAACCGCAUGGUUCAAAAGUGAAAGACGGUCUUGCUGUCACUUAUAGAUGGAUCCGCGCUGCAUUAGCUAGUUGGUAAGGUAACGGCUUACCAAGGCAACGAUGCAUAGCCGACCUGAGAGGGUGAUCGGCCACACUGGAACUGAGACACGGUCCAGACUCCUACGGGAGGCAGCAGUAGGGAAUCUUCCGCAAUGGGCGAUAGCCUGACGGAGCAACGCCGCGUGAGUGAUGAAGGUCUUCGGAUCGUAAAACUCUGUUAUUAGGGAAGAACAUAUGUGUAAGUAACUGUGCACAUCUUGACGGUACCUAAUCAGAAAGCCACGGCUAACUACGUG